rnacentral:rRNA from 1 species
GGCGAACGGGUGAGUAACAUGUGAGUAACCUGCCCUUGACUUUGGGAUAACUUCAGGAAACUGGGGCUAAUACCGGAUAGGAGCUCCUGCUGCAUGGUGGGGGUUGGAAAGUUUCGGCGGUUGGGGAUGGACUCGCGGCUUAUCAGCUUGUUGGUGGGGUAGUGGCUUACCAAGGCUUUGACGGGUAGCCGGCCUGAGAGGGUGACCGGCCACAUUGGGACUGAGAUACGGCCCAG